rnacentral:lncRNA from 1 species
AUGUCAGCGCAGGGCUGGGGGUCACAACAACAGCACCGACCAGGCCAUGAGUCCAUUCGGGAAGGAAGCGGAGGAAGGCGGGCUCCAGAGGGAGACAGCCCGGCCACGGCUCUGGGUGGGACUGUGUCCCCUGCACGGGUGAGCACACGCGUGGGUACCCGCACUGCUGUCUGCCUCCAGCCUGAGUGUGCGAGAGGGAUCGGAAGGCCAAGGGCAGUGUCGGCAGGGCCCAGGAGCCUCUGGCAUCGGGCAGCUGUGUGGUCAGGAACCCAGACGCACCACAGUGGGUCAGCUCGUCACUGCGCUAUGUCCGGGACCUCGCUCACUCGUCUGGUGCUUGGUGCUGCACCAGUGGGGCCUACCUGGGGCCAAGGCCACCACGUGCACAGGGAGGCUCUGUGCCCUGGGCUUCCUGCCAAUGCCGUGCCCGGGUUCCCGGGACAAGUCCUGAGGAGGGAGAAGAUGAGGAGGAAGCCGUACUGCCCUUAUGACCUAACUCAGAAGCCAGGCAGCACCAUUCCCAGCGAAGGCCCACCUGGUUCAAGGGAAGGGAACAGGCCCCAUCUCAGUGCCCGGUGCCCGACAGGGCUGCCCACGGCUUCCGGAGAAUCUGCUACACUCAACCAGGAUCGGGGCCUGAACAGGGGCGCUGUGCCGUGCAGCCCAGGGUGGGCAUCUUCCCGCAGGGAGUGCAGUGGAUGGUGGUGGCACCUGGAGCAUAGCAGUGUGCCCGUGUGCCCGGGGCCUGGCUCUGAAGAGCUUAAGGAGGGAGCCGGGCACCCAGAGUCCAGUCUCCAGGGACAAGGGCCAAGCCGGCAGAGACCCUGGCAGCUGGAGGCAAGGUGCCCCUGUUCAAGGGAAAAGUGGGGUGGAUCCAGGCCCACCACACCCUCCCUCCCCCCCCUCCCCGCCAGACACCCCAUCUUGGUGGGCGGGGGAUGGGAAGAUCCGGUCCUGAGGAGGAAGGGCAGUCAGGUCACUGCUGUCCCGCGCUGGGAAGCUGCACCCCACUCUGCACCGAGGGGUCCCGGCGCCUGGGAGACCAGGUGGAGACCCCCCACCAGGUGCUCCUGGCACACCUGCCUGGCCCAGAGGACGCUCCUGCCUGUCCAGAGCAGGCCCACGGGUGUCCUGCGAACAGUGCUGGCCGAAGAAGUCGGGGUCUGGCCACCCUCACCCAGCGACCGGGACCCGGCGGGCUGGGGCGGCAGUGAGGGGGGGCGGGGGCGGCAGCGGGGAGCUCGGGGCGCUGCGGUCUUGGACCCGGCGAGGGACGCGGGGCCCAGGAAGAUGCCGGAGAGGCCGGGCCGGUGGUCGCCCCAGCCCUGGUCAGCCUGCGAGUCGCGGCCGCGGUCCUCGGGGCGUCCAGUCCUCCGGGCGCGGCGGGGGACCCUCUACUCCGCCGCCCCGCCCCCGGCCGCAGGCCCCCCCCUUCCCGAGGCCCCGCCUCCCGGCGAGCCUGGCCCCGCCCCUUCCCGAGGGCCCCGCCCCCUUCCCGAGGCCCCGCCCCGCCAGGCCCGGGACCAAUGGUGGUGCUAA